GUCAAAGUGCGCGGAUCACAAACAUUGAUCGCUCAGAGGGAGAAGGAGAAAGAGUGAGAAGAAGCGAGAUAUAUAUAUAUAUAUAUAUUCCAGUAAAAAUAAUUAAAGUGUUCGGUUUACUCUGUGUGUACUGUUUUACUGUUGUACGAUCAUUGCAAAGGUGGCAUUUAUUGCAUACACCAAAGGUGUCAAAAAGCCGUAAAGCAUAUUCUUCAAAUAUAUUUCACUAAAAAGUGUGUGUGGACUCAUUGUCUGGCUGAUCGUCACCUGAAGAAGAUGGGCAAAUACGAGUACUCGCUGGGCCUCAAUGAAUUCAAAUCGAAGGAUUUGCGUCUGUGGCAGGCGCUCAUCGCCGAAUUCAUUGGCAAUUUGAUAUUGAACUUUUUCGCCUGUGGCGCCUGCACCCAGCAGGAGGAUGGCACCUUUAAGGCUCUCGCCUUUGGACUGGGCGUCUUCAUGGCCAUUACGAUCAUCGGCCAUUUGAGUGGAGGUCAUGUUAAUCCUGCUGUUACCGUUGCCAUGUUGGUAGCUGGCAGGAUUAGCGUCCUUCGCGCUGUCUUCUACAUUGUGUUCCAGUGUCUGGGCGCCAUUGCCGGCACAGCAUGUGUCAAGAUCCUGCUGGACUCGAACUAUCACAACGGAUUGGGCCACACUAAUCUGGCCCCAAAUAUCAGUGAGCUCCAGGGACUGGGCAUUGAGUUCUUCCUCGGCUUGGUGCUGGUGUUGACCGUGUUCGGUGCCUGCGAUGGCCACAAACCGGACUCGCGAUACACUGCUCCGCUGGCCAUUGGCAUGUCGGUCACAUUGGGUCAUCUGGGCACAAUUCACUAUACGGGCGCCAGCAUGAAUCCGGCUCGUACACUGGGCACCGCCUUUGCCACCGACAACUGGAACGCCCAUUGGGUGUACUGGGUGGGACCGGUGCUGGGCGGUGUGGCAGCUGCUCUGCUCUACACCCAGGUGCUGGAGGCUAAGGCGCCAGCGAAGAGCAACGAAACCGCUGAGAAAUAUCGCACACAUGCCGACGAACGUGAGGUGAGAGCAUUUGCGGCCUGGCACGAUAAGAGUUUCUAUUGAGACUACACACACACACACACAUACACACACACUCAUACACUCACUCAUACGCACUCACAGACAACACUCAGUCUGCGCAAACUGGAAGGAUCUCGCGACUUUGCCUAAGACAGGAGAGAAACACAUUGCUCAUAUCCGCUGAUUAUUAUAGCCACAUCACACACACACACACACACACGCACAUCAAGGCAACUCGAGUGCUGCGAGUCCAAUUCAAAUGCUCACAAGAAUUGAAAUGGAAUAUGCGAUGAUUGAACUUCCUUGUCUUGGUUCCGUUUCGUUAUAAUCUUGAAUAAUUUUUGCAUAUUACAUGUUAAUUUUUUGUAUUUACGAUGUAUUUAUGUAUUUAUUUAUGCGAAAUCAUUUUUAUAAACUAAUAUCUGUUAAAUAUAAGCUGUGCUUAACUCAAACACACACACACAAACUCAAACAACUGCUUCUACACAUGAGUUCACAAUAAAAAUUUACAAAAAUAAAUAAA